rnacentral:rRNA from 1 species
UCUAGCCAUGGGCAGGUUGAAGGUUGGGUAACACUAACUGGAGGACCGAACCGACUAAUGUUGAAAAAUUAGCGGAUGACUUGUGGCUGGGGGUGAAAGGCCAAUCAAACCGGGAGAUAGCUGGUUCUCCCCGAAAGCUAUUUAGGUAGCGCCUCGUGAAUUCAUCUCCGGGGGUAGAGCACUGUUUCGGCAAGGGGGUCAUCCCGACUUACCAACCCGAUGCAAACUGCGAAUACCGGAGAAUGUUAUCACGGGAGACACACGGCGGGUGCUAACGUCCGUCGUGAAGAGGGAAACAACCCAGACCGCCAGCUAAGGUCCCAAAGUCAUGGUUAAGUGGGAAACGAUGUGGGAAGGCCCAGACAGCCAGGAUGUUGGCUUAGAAGCAGCCAUCAUUUAAAGAAAGCGUAAUAGCUCACUGGUCGAGUCGGCCUGCGCGGAAGAUGUAACGGGGCUAAACCAUGCAC